rnacentral:rRNA from 1 species
UACGUAGGUGGCAAGCGUUGUCCGGAAUUAUUGGGCGUAAAGCGCGCGCAGGUGGUUUCUUAAGUCUGAUGUGAAAGCCCACGGCUCAACCGUGGAGGGUCAUUGGAAACUGGGGAACUUGAGUGCAGGAGAGAAGAGUGGAAUUCCACGGUGUAGCGGUGAAAUGCGUAGAGAAUGUGGAGGAACACCAGUGGCGAAGGCGGUUCUCUGGGACGGUACUGACGCUGAGACGCGAAAGCGUGGGGAGCGAACAG